rnacentral:rRNA from 1 species
UGGGGAAUAUUGCACAAUGGGCGCAAGCCUGAUGCAGCCAUGCCGCGUGUGUGAAGAAGGCCUUCGGGUUGUAAAGCACUUUCAGCGAGGAGGAAGGGUAGUGUGUUAAUAGCACAUUGCAUUGACGUUACUCGCAGAAGAAGCACCGGCUAACUCCGUGCCAGCAGCCGCGGUAAUACGGAGGGUGCAAGCGUUAAUCGGAAUUACUGGGCGUAAAGCGCACGCAGGCGGUUUGUUAAGUCAGAUGUGAAAUCCCCGCGCUUAACGU